CAACCAUUAACCAUGCUUGACAAGCUCUGGGACGACGGAGUUGGCGGCCCCCAACCCGACAGUGGCCUGGAUAAACUGAGGAGGAUCAAGCCGCUCACCCUCAAAGUCUUAGAUGGUGAAGGAGAGAGCAGCGGCGGCAAGUUUGGGAAGAGCAUCUCUAUGCCAGCAACUCCAAGAACUCCGACUACACCGACGACGCCUGCCUCGGCGCGCAAGGCGAACGUGUGGCGUAGCGUGUUCAAUCCAGGGAGCAACCUGGCGACGAAGACGCUCGGUUCCGACAUGUUCGACAAGCCCCAGCCAAACUCCCCCACUGUCUACGACUGGCUUUACAGCGGCCAGACGAAGAGCAGCCACCGUUAGAGGGUUUCGUUGGUGUAAGCAUGAGAUUAGACGGAGUGUGCUGAGUUGUGUUGGUGUAUGGCGGCUGUUUCUUGUAUAGUCACUGGCUUUUGUUGGGUUGGGUGGCUGUUGCAACUUUGCUGCCAUGUAUUUCUGGAUCUGUAAACUGUUGGGUUUUAUGUUAUUGUAGAUAUUGAUGUUUGCCUCUACU
rnacentral:misc_RNA from 1 species